rnacentral:lncRNA from 1 species
GAUCUCACCGUGACGCAGAGACUCGCUCUGGAGGACUCUGGCUCUCCAUUAGUCAUUGUCCUGGAAAGGUGAUUGCUUAUUCUAGAGAACAUCUGUUCUUUUCAGGAUGUGUGGGAUUGCACUGCUCACAGACAGGACGCCACAUGCUGGGAGCCCUUCUGCAUGAUUGCGGCUCUUUUUCUCCAACUUCUUCAGCCUCGGCGCACAGAUAAGGCUCUCCAGGCCCGCCUCAUCACUCUCCCCCGCAGCUACUUCCUCACAGGGUACCAGGGCCAGAGGCAGAGAGGGACAGUUUAGGGACUUCUUUAACUCUUCAGGACCAACGCAGAGUUGGGGUUCUGGACAGACACUGCCUUCCACUCUGCCGCACGUCACUGACUGGGUUAUGUCGGCCUUACGGUCAUCCUAAACGCAGAUCCACUUUUUUCUGCUUGUUUUCCCUGGGGUCAGCAGUGGAUUCUGUAUUCUUGUACUUCUUGAAGAGUCAGGAUCCUGGGGUUGGUGACCUUUGUGAAACAAGGUGGCAGCCCAGAAGCCUCACCGACCAUGACUGGAUGCAUCCGAUGGAAAAUUCUAAACUGUACCAUGCUGAAAGAACAGAGAAGAAAGCUUGUGUUGCUACAAUAGAAAACACAUGUGCAAACAAUUUUUAUUUUCAAAGAGACCUACCUAGAAAGAACUGAUUUCAUACGUUCACCUUCAGUCUUGACUCCUCCAGGCAGAGGGAAAAGGAUGAACAUGUCAAGUCUCUUCUCAGAAGUUCAAGUGUUUGAACUUGAAGCCAUGAGGAAAUAUAUUCUCUCAUUCCUUCCUAAUGCAGCCUUAGUUUUAAGCUCCUUCUGAAGGAAGAUAAGGGGCUUGGCUCAUUUAGCACACAACUUGAUAAGAUCUCUGAAAAUCAGAUCUACUGAGCAUUCUCUCCAAGACUUCUCUGGAGCUGAAAAACGGGAGACAUACCUCCUGUGGGUCGUGGUGAUGCUAUGAACAUGUCAGAGAUAACAUCCUACAGGGUUAAUAAUACCAACAGAGCACAGCAAAACAACAUGCUGCAGAAGUUUUACUCAUUUCUGUAGCCCAGUACUGGGCCCUGAAGAAAAGAAAAUUCUCAAAAACUCGCGACAUCAUUAACUUGGAAGCGAAGUUAGACAGCUUUUGUGCCUUUAUAUGCAUAAAGUAAGAGUGACAAAAUAUAUGUAUAACUUCACGUGAAUUAAUUUAUCAAAUCGCUUCCUAGAAAAACAGAUUUGUCCUAGGAAGCCUAUAUUAAAUAGGCGGAUGCAGACUGAUGGAGAAUGUCUAAAGCAGGCAAGGCACAGAAAAGGAGGACAGAGCCACAAGACCAUUGUGGCUCCUUCACAGGGCCAGUCCUGAACUUCUCUUGAAGGCUCCAUCUACUCUGGGGUUACGGACACAGCCUGGCUUUGCCUCACAACCUGUGCCUGUCCUCUGGGCUCCGCAUUUACUGUAACUGUUCUAACCCAUCAAGCAGUGGGAAGAACUUUAAACUCCCGCUGCUGGAGUCUGAGAAUGAACUACCACGUGUUAGAAAUGAUGCAAUGCGGCAUGAUCAUAUAAGACUAAGGAAGAGAAUCAGCGGGAUUGUAUUUCACCGAAGUGCUGUGUGUGAAACUGAACUCUUUGGGACUUGGCGUAGGUCUCAGAGGCCUAUCUCAUCCCUGCACC